CUGAUUUCUUUAAGAUUUGAAUGCUUUGAGAUAUUUUCAAAAUAUCUUUACUAAUGUUGCCAUAUCUCUGUGGCAACAUUAGUAGGUGUAGGCAACAAUCUUUGAUGUAGGUAAUGCCAACAUUUAGCUUAGUAAACAUCCAUUCAUUCAUUCAGCUGACAUGUACAAACAUAUUAUAAUGUAGUUAUCACUAUUUAGUGAACAUUUAAAAUGAUACAACUUGCUGGAUGACCUAUGGCAAGGGUUGGCAAACUAUGGCCCAUGGGCCAAAUCUGGCCUGCCACCUCUUUUCUGUAGUGCCUGCAAGCUAAGAAUAGGUUUUACAAUGUCAAAUUUUUUAAAAUUUCAAAGUAACCCACUAUAAUGACUGAAUUGCGGAGUUUUGAGAAAGAUUGCAUGUAGUACUGCUAUAGCUUUUCAUUUGCACACACUUGGUUGUCUCUGCUGUUACAUAGUGACAAUUACAAUUAGGCAGAGUUUAUAAUAUCACGUGUCUCGCUAUUUUUCUCGUGGUUCUUAGAAUCUGUCCCUUAGCCC
rnacentral:lncRNA from 1 species